GGAAUUUUGCGCAAUGGGCGAAAGCCUGACGCAGCAACGCCGCGUGGAGGACGAAGGCUUUCGAGUCGUAAACUCCUGUCCUCGGGGACGAAGCAGUGACGGUACCCGGGGAGGAAGCCCCGGCUCACUCCGCGCCAGCAGCCGCGGUAAUACGGGGGGGGCGAGCGUUGUUCGGAAUUACUGGGCGUAAAGGGCGCGUAGGCGGCCUGAGAAGUUCUGGGUGAAAGUCCUCGGCUCAACCGGGGAAUUGCCUGGAAAACCAUCGGGCUGGAGUGCUGGAGAGGCCGGCGGAAUUCCUGGUGUAGCGGUGAAAUGCGUAGAUAUCAGGAGGAACACCCGAGGCGAAGGCGGCCGGCUGGACUGAUACUGACACUGAGGUGCGAAAGCGUGGGGAGCAAAC
rnacentral:rRNA from 1 species